rnacentral:snRNA from 1 species
AUCACUUCUCAGCAUUUUGGCUAAGAUCAAGUAUACCAUCUGUUUUUAACAGUUUAACAAAGUUCUUUCAUUUGCAGUUAUCUACUUCUUACAAAUUAAUGGAAGUCUCU